GCUGGGAGCAUGCCCGUCCUGCCAGUCCUCUGCACGGUGCCAUACAUCCAACCUUCAUCAACAGUUUGAACGUUUACAAUGGCAUCCCCAUCUUUGAAGGACACCUCAUCUGCAUCUGCAGCCAUAUAGUCAUACAUGGCACGGAAGAUUUUCUAUCGGCAAAGACAAAAAAGGGAAAUAUAUAUUAGAUUUGCAGCAAUUAACCCGAACACCUAGUUUUAGUUUCCACCAACUUAACUUGCACAAAACAGAAUGUGCAACUACCUACCACCAAAACUAAAAGACAACUCACAAACUAGGAGAAAAUAUUUGCUAAUCAUAUAUCUAAUAAGGGAUCACUAUCCAGACUAUAUAAAAAAAAACUCCUAUAAUUCAAUACUGAAAAGGGACAGGGGCAAAAGAUCUGAAUUCUCCAAAGAAGAUGAUAAACCAAGAGCCAAUAAGCCCGUGAAAAGAUGCUCGACAUCGUCAGUCAUCAGGAAAAUGCAAAACUACAAUGAAAUACCCCUUCACACACACUGGAAUGGUGAUAAUUGAAAAGAUAGUAACAAGUGUUGGGGAGGAUAUGGGAAAAUUUGAAUCUUUAUAAACCGUUGGUGGGAAAGGAAAAUGGUGCAGACACUUUGGAAAACAGUUUUGGAAGUUCUUCCCCUUUUAAGAGUUACCAUGUGACCUAGCAGUACUACUCCUAGGUAUAUACACAAGAGGAAUGAACAUAAGUCCACAUAGUAACUUGUACAUCCGUAUUCAUAACGGCAUUAUUUGUAAAAGCCAAAAAGUGGAACUAGCCCAAAUGCCCAUCAACUGAUGAAUGAAUAAAGAAAAGGUAUUCCCAUACAAUUAAAUAUUUGCUAAUAAAAAGGGAUGAAGUACUGAUACAUGAUACAACAUGGAUAACCUCAAAACAUUAAGAAGCCAGUCACAGAAGACCACAUAUUGUGUGAUUUCAUUUAUAUGAAAUAUAUCCCAAAUAGGCAAAUAUAUACAGAAAGUACAUUAGUGGAUGUACUAAUCUAGUGUUUUGGAGAAAAAAAUUUGAAAAAUCAUAGCAAUAUUGCAUGUUUUUCUUUGGGAAUUUGGGAGCAUACCAGUAGUAAAAGUUUGGAAAGCUAACCUCCACGAUGUUUUUUUUUUAAAGAAUUGUAGCAUGGUGGGAAAGGAAAAUGGAGCAUUACUAAUCAACAGGCAUAAAGUUUCAGUUAAGCAAGAUGAAUAAACCCUAGAGAUCUGUUCUAGAGAUCUCUAGGGAUCUGUACACAACCUUGAAUCUAUAGUAAACAAUAAUGCAUUAUACACUUAAAAAUAUAAGGGUAGGUUGAUCUCGUGUUCUCACAACAAUGAAAUAAGGUUUUUUAAAACUGUAACAAUUUAGAGAUAAAAAUAAAAUUUGAUUUGAAAGUGCCCAAAUUUUCUUUAUAGGAGCAGUCACUGGUUAGUAAUUUGGUAUGAGACCUACAUAUUUUUUCCUAGCAUUCUGAAAUAUACACAACAUAUAUUCACAUUCAAGGAUAGGUUCCCCCCUGCCCCACAUAAGUGGAAUACUACUAUAAAUAGUACUCUGACUUGUUCCUUCCAUUUAAUAUGGCUUGGAAGUCUUUCCAUAUGAAUAUAGAUUGAUCACAUUCUUUUUUACUGCUGUAGAGAAUUCCAUAUUUUAGUACUAUCGCAAAUUAUUUAGCCAUUUCUAUAUUUCUGGACAUUUAAUUGUCACCAUGUUUUUGUCACCAUGUUUUCAUCCACUAACCCUAUAGUGUUUGUCUUUGGGCAGAUAUUUCAAAAGAAAGCUUUUAAAAGUAAAAGUAUUUGGUGAAAGGCAUGUGCCUUUUAAGUAAGUUUUUUUAGAAAGUUCACUACUGUAAUGUUCUAAUAUACUUUUAUUGUUGCAUAUUUCUGGUUAGUAGUCAAAUGGUGAACAUGGUUUUUUUGUUGGCCAUUUUUAAAAAUUUUUCUGUAUAUUGUCUAUUCAUAUGCUUCCAGGUUUUAUUUUGAAGGGAAGGGGGAUAAUAUGUCAAUGAACUUUGGAUACUUUUUGCGUUUUUAGAUAUUAGUCUUUUUAUUGAGUAUAAUAUUUUUUCCCAGUUUGACAUUUCUUUUUGCUAUAAAAGCAUUUAACCUUUUAUGGUCAAAUCUGUCAGUCUUUUCCUUUACAUAUCUAGAUUUUGGAGUCUGCUGAGGAAGGCUUUCAGCAUUUCCAAUUGUAAAAGUAGUCUCUUUUUCUAUAGUAUUUUAGUUUUCCUUUUUUUUUUUUCUCUGCUGAUUUGUAAUUCUUUUAGGGUCCAUUUUUGGACUUCAUCUAUUUUACAAUCUAUUCUCAUGCUAAAUUCAUAUUUAAUUACAAUAGAUUUAUAGCAUAUUUUGCUCUUAUGGUUAAGUCCUUUCCUAUUAUCAUUUUCAAAAUUUGCUUAUUCUUGCAUCUUUACUCUUUCAAAUAAAUUAUAGGAUUAAUGUAUAAAAAUUUUUUAAAUUUUACUAGGAUUUGAUUGGAAUUGCCUUGAAUUUAUGGAUUUAUUUCUGGAGAAAUGACUUCAAGAUUCCCUUCCUGAACUAUAAUGGGUCUCAAUACUUACUUAAGUCUUAUGUCCUUUAGUAAAGAUAGUUUUCUACAUACAAAUAUUGUUCAUUUCAAUCCUAAAGAAUUAUGUUUUUGUAAUACUAUGAAUGAGAUCCAGGGUUUUAAACUAGUCCUGGUGAAUUGUGAACAUGAUUUGACUUAUUUCUUCAAUGUAUAUUAAUAGGGGAUAUCUAAGAUAUGACCAGAUUACAUGUGUGACAUGUGCAUACACAUAUAUUUGGGUUGGCCAAGAAGUUCGUUCGGGUUUUUCUGUAAGAUGAUGGGGAAAAAUCCGAACGAGCUCUUUGGCCAGCCCAAUAUAUUCUGGAAGAAUGAUUCCAAGCCACAGAUGUUUUGCGUUAAGAUAGUGGGUGGGUCUAAUGAGACCAAAAUGAUGACUUUGCUUUAGGCUUUUUUUGUUUGUUUGUUUGGUGUGUUUGUUUUCAAUCACCGAGUAAUGCUUUUUAAUUAAUGUGAGUUGCUAAUGAAGGUUUUCUGAUAAUUUAUUACUGUUAGCAUGAGAUGUGUAGUAAAAGAGCAUUAUGUAAAAAAGAAGAUUCGGUUAAUAAAAAAAAAAAAGACCAGAAUACCUAUAAUCAUUAUUGCACAUAUCAAAAAGUGAGAAUGACUUCAGUAAGUUACUGUUACUUACUCCAGCAGUAGAUGGAUGAGAUGGGAUGGAGGAUACCGUUGUCUGCUGGGUAGCAACUGAAGAUGAUCGUUGCUGUGGGAGCUCUGUGGUUUUUGCAUGUUUGUAAGCUGAAAAGGGAGAAAAUGGUUUAUUAGGAGAAAACGUGACUAGACCUCAUUUAAUCUGUGAUUAGCAACUGAGCUAAUCUUUUCCCCUAAUUUAAAAAGAAUGAUUUCCAAGAUUGGAGGAAUGAAAAUGAAAUAGCUAACUGCGUGUACCUCUCCACAAUUCUAGUCCUCUCAUUAGAAGAAAGGAUCCAGAUGUUUUUUGUUGUGUUUUUACUCAAAGCAUCUCUUAACAGUAACCUCCAGGGAGCUAGCUGGUUGGCCGUGGCUGUCAAGGUCAGGGCCAUCCACGUGUACCUGGUGAGGUUGCAGAGAAGAAGACGCCCCCGUCGCUGUAGGUGGAGAGGUGGGCACCUUCUGAAUGCUCGGACUUCUCCUCGCCGCCACUGACGCUCAGCGCGCUGGCAGAUCGAGACUGCUCCCGGCUCCGGCGCUGAGCUUGUGCUGGGGAGGCCGUCCACCCAAUCUGAGGAAUUCCUCACUCACCGUUGAGAUGUGGCGUUGGGUCUCCCUCACCCGUCUCAUCUCUGGCGUGUCCAAGACAUAGGCAGCUUUGCCUUGUAUUUGUUUCCGGAAGCUAUCAGAAUAAAGCACCUGACAGAGGAGAGACCAUGAAUGAGGACAGGUUGUGGUACCAUCCUAAUUCUGAAGCCUCAAAACCUUUCCAACAGAUGGAGGUGAAAGAAACUGGGGAGGGAAGCUUGAGUCACCUGAAAAGCCCCAGCUAGCCCGUGGCUGACAGAGGAACAGUUAGCAUGAGGGUGGACAGGCAGGGCUUGAAUGAGACAAAGGAUUUCUUUUGAGUUUGAGGAGACAGGGCAAAGUAUAAUUUUGAAAGGAAGGGGAAAAAGUGAUCUCUUGAAUUUGCUGGGAAUUGUAGCACCAGCACAUUGGAUGAUAUUUGGAGCUAAACGUGAUACUGACGUUUGAAAGAACUAUCCUUUAAGACAAGUGAUCAUUUUUUGAAGGAUUAUGUCCAGAUUUCAUAAACCAAUAUGCUAAUACAGAAAUCAAAGUCUCAGAAAUGAAAAACCCAAAAUAUCAAAGUCAGAGAAGGCUUCCAUUUCAGAGUAUUACCUGUUUCAUAAGGUAUCUUAAAAAAGUAUUGCUGAAGAUUGAGGAUGUUAGGAAGUCAAUUUGUUACACUUGGUUACAUAAGACUACCUCAGAGUAAAGUAAAACGGAAGAGGAAACACUGGCAAUUAACUUGUUAUGUCUUAGUACAGUCAUUUGGAAUUUAAAAGCACAGUUAUGUUAAUUUUAGUGUGAAUUUUCAGUUGAAUAAAAACACUUUUUUAUGAUGUUAAAAUGUUA